rnacentral:rRNA from 1 species
UACGUAGGGUGCAAGCGUUGUCCGGAAUUAUUGGGCGUAAAGAGCUCGUAGGCGGUCUGUCGCGUCUGCUGUGAAAACUCAGGGCUUAACCCUGGGCCUGCAGUGGGUACGGGCAGACUAGAGGCAGGUAGGGGAGAAUGGAAUUCCCGGUGUAGCGGUGAAAUGCGCAGAUAUCGGGAGGAACACCGGUGGCGAAGGCGGUUCUCUGGGCCUGACCUGACGCUGAGGAGCGAAAGCGUGGGGAGCGAACAGG